rnacentral:rRNA from 1 species
CCUACGGGUGGCAGCAGUCGAGAAUCAUUCACAAUGGGGGAAACCCUGAUGGUGCGACGCCGCGUGAGGGAAGACGGCCCUACGGGUUGUAAACCUCUUUUGCCGGGGAGCAACGGGCGCCACGUGUGGCGCCACUGAGAGUACCCGGAGAAAAAGCAUCGGCUAACUCCGUGCCAGCAGCCGCGGUAAUACGGAGGAUGCGAGCGUUAUCCGGAUUUCUUGGGUUUAAAGGGUGCGUAGGCGGAGCGUUAAGUCAGUGGUCAAAUUGAGGGGCUCAACCCCUUCCCGCCAUUGAAACUGGCGCUCUUGAGUGGAAGAGAAGUAUGCGGAAUGCGUGGUGUAGCGGUGAAAUGCAUAGAUAUCACGCAGAACCCCGAUUGCGAAGGCAGCAUGCCGGCUUCCUACUGACGCUGAAGCACGAAAGCGUGGGGAUCGAACAGGAUUAGAUACCCGAGUAGUC